rnacentral:rRNA from 1 species
GGCGAACGCUGGCGGCAGGCUUAACACAUGCAAGUCGAGCGGGCAUAGCAAUAUGUCAGCGGCAGACGGGUGAGUAACGCGUGGGAACGUACCUUUUGGUUCGGAACAACUGAGGGAAACUUCAGCUAAUACCGGAUAAGCCCUUACGGGGAAAGAUUUAUCGCCGAAAGAUCGGCCCGCGUCUGAUUAGCUAGUUGGUGAGGUAAUGGCUCACCAAGGCGACGAUCAGUAGCUGGUCUGAGAGGAUGAUCAGCCACAUUGGGACUGAGACACGGCCCAAACUCCUACGGGAGGCAGCAGUGGGGAAUAUUGGACAAUGGGCGCAAGCCUGAUCCAGCCAUGCCGCGUGAGUGAUGAAGGCCCUAGGGUUGUAAAGCUCUUUUGUGCGGGAAGAUAAUGACGGUACCGCAAGAAUAAGCCCCGGCUAACUUCGUG